rnacentral:rRNA from 1 species
UGGGGAAUUUUGGACAAUGGGCGAAAGCCUGAUCCAGCAAUGCCGCGUGUGUGAAGAAGGCCUUCGGGUUGUAAAGCACUUUUGUCCGGAAAGAAAUCCUUGGCUCUAAUACAGUCGGGGGAUGACGGUACCGGAAGAAUAAGCACCGGCUAACUACGUGCCAGCAGCCGCGGUAAUACGUAGGGUGCAAGCGUUAAUCGGAAUUACUGGGCGUAAAGCGUGCGCAGGCGGUUUGCUAAGACCGAUGUGAAAUCCCCGGGCUCAACCUGGGAACUGCAUUGGUGACUGGCAGGCUAGAGUAUGGCAGAGGGGGGUAGAAUUCCACGUGUAGCAGUGAAAUGCGUAGAGAUGUGGAGGAAUACCGAUGGCGAAGGCAGCCCCCUGGGCCAAUACUGACGCUCAUGCACGAAAGCGUGGGGGAGCAAACAGGAUUAGAUACCCUGGUAGUCCACGCCCUAAAACGAUGUCAACUAGUUGUUGGGGAUUCAUUUCCUUAGUAACGUAGCUAACGCGUGAAGUUGACCGCCUGGGGAGUACGGUCG